rnacentral:rRNA from 1 species
AGCAACGCCGCGUGAGUGAUGAAGGUUUUCGGAUCGUAAAGCUCUGUUGUUAGGGAAGAACAAGUGCAAGAGUAACUGCUUGCACCUUGACGGUACCUAACCAGAAAGCCACGGCUAACUACGUGCCAGCAGCCGCGGUAAUACGUAGGUGGCAAGCGUUGUCCGGAAUUAUUGGGCGUAAAGGGCUCGCAGGCGGUUUCUUAAGUCUGAUGUGAAAGCCCCCGGCUCAACCGGGGAGGGUCAUUGGAAACUGGGAAACUUGAGUGCAGAAGAGGAGAGUGGAAUUCCACGUGUAGCGGUGAAAUGCGUAGAGAUGUGGAGGAACACCAGUGGCGAAGGCGACUCUCUGGUCUGUAACUGACGCUGAGGAGCGAAAGCGUGGGGAGCGAACAGGAU